UCGCGAUUUGACCGUCAGGUCCUGAACACGCUGAAGUGCUCGACUGCAAACCCGUUAUCUCAGAUAUGAUUACUGCCGCAGAGAGCGCGCGCGCGGGUGUGUGUGUGUGUGUGUGUGUGUGUGUGUGUGUGUGUGUGCGUGUGUGUGUGUGUGUGUGUGUGUGUGUGUGUGUGUGUGUGUGUGUGUGUGUGUGUGUGUGUGUGUGUGUGUGUGUGUGUGUGUGUGUGUGUGUGUGUGUGUGUGUGUGUUGUCAGCCCGCUCUGCAGCCCCACAGCACUGCCUACAGCUUUUAAAGAGGCACAACACAGCAAGUAACACUUUACACGCCUUUUUUUUUGGGCACGUAUCCCACAAUUCAUCACGUCUGUCAGGUCCGGGGGAGUGAGGAUAAAAUAAUGUGAAAUCGACCUGAGGUCGUGAUCAGGAGAGGGAUAUAAAAUUAUUUUCAAAACAUUAAGUGUACCAUGGAGCAUCAUGAAGGUCAUCAUGGACAAUUGGAGAAAAUGGGGUGCCAUUAUGACAUCACCAAACACAAGAAGGACAAGAAGACAGCUGCGAGGGCUCCUACAGCAACAUCAAACAAGCUGCAGGAAUAUCUGGCAGAUACCACAAGCCAAGUGUGGGGUAUAAUCUCUCCAGAGAAUCCUAGAUCUGCCCUGAUGUCUCCAUCUUGUGAUAUGUGCUUUACAGAGAUCUACCAGGAGCUGAUCUUGUGGCAAGAUGCCCAAACUGCACCAAAUGGCUCCUCUUGAUAUGAAAAAGCAACAUCUCUAAGACACCAGACUGAUUUCCAGUCUGUUGAGUACUUAAGAGAAAAUACUUCAUCAUAAUCCAGUAAAGUAUCAAUAGAACUGCUGACAUGCUUGUCAACUUCCACAAGUCAACCCUUCAAUGGACUUGCUUAGCAAAGAUUGUCCAUUAUUCGUUAAAUUCUCUCAUAUUUGAGACCAGAAUUGUUGUUCCAGUUUGAUUAUACAACCACAAAAUCUCUCAAUGAACUAUGGUCCACAGUGCAUUGAAUAACCUUUUGCUUUUGUUGUUGACACACCACGACUUUUUCAAUUCAACUUUCCUCUCAAAUCCCACUACUCCUAGUAUGCACAUAAUUUUCCCCUAAGUCCCCUAUAGAGUCAAGAGAAGGUAUCCUCCUAAUUGUUGGUCUCUCAGCUAGGGACUGAUUAGUAUCACCACACCUUCAUAAGGCAUAUCUCUUGUGGGAACUUUGGAGUAUGAAAGUAUGAGUAUGAGUAGCAGAUCCCUUACAGUAGAUAGUUGUAUUGCUAACUAAAUGCAACCUCUACAUCAACUAACAUAUAACAACAACAUAUAAUGAUCACUAACCAAAAAGAAACCUGUUUCUUGUCUGAAGUGGUGCCUUGCCCCGUAUUCAUAAACAAAUUCUAAGGUGAAUCAUGGAUAAUCUGUAUCCUCUAGGGAAGAGAAUUUAUACACUUCACAAAAUCUCUCAUUGCAGUGAAAUGAAUGCCUCGGAUUUUGUCCAGUUUCCUUUUAAACAUGCCUACAAAAUAACAAGGCUUCCAUAACAGUACACUAAAUAUUGAAUUGGGGGAAAUUUCAUUACAUUAUGGAAAAUUUCCUUGUCAAUGUUUGCUGCAUCUUCUCAUUGCUCAGAGAAAAGAAAAGAAAAGAAAAGAAAAGAAAAGAAAAGAAAAGAAAAGAAAGAAUCUCCCGUUGUAAGAGCAUGACAGUGGUGUGGAUGAAUGUAUGAGGCAGAGGAGACAAGGCCAAUUUGGCUGAUGCAUCAAAUAGAGUGAACAAAAAGCUAAUCUAUUGAAGGGGAACAAAAAAAAAGCCUGAGCAUGAGGUAGCAGAGAUAGAGAUAGAAAGCUCUGGAGAUUGCUUUGGCACACAGAAAAUUACUCUGUUGAGUUGGAACAGAACAGGAAGCUAGAGACAAAUGGUUUGGCACUGGGAAACAAAGCUGAAUGGGGCUGUGCCUGUAUGUGUGUGACUUCAACAAUGUUGUUUGAUCAGGAGCCCUGUGUGUACCUGUAACCAUGUGUGUGUUUGUGUUUGUGUGUGUGUGUGUGUGUGUGUGUGUGUGUGUGUGUGUGUGUGUGUGUGUGUGUGUGUGUGUGUAUUUGUAUGUGUUUAAGGAAGGAUUGUACUCAGAUUGCCGCAUUAAAGUUUGAUCUCAACACUUGUUAUCCUAUACAGAAUUAUCUAAAUAUGCAAUAGUCUGAUUGUUUUUUUCCCAUAAUAAUUGUAGGCUAGGCUACUAAAUGAUAAAACAAAAAAGUGUUCUCCUUGUUGUUGUUGGAUCAUGAGGUCAAAACCUGAAAUCUGUGGCCAAGAGCCAGGGGAGAAAAUCCGAUAUACUGUAGUUGGGAGGGAUACUAUUCAAUCACUGACUAGCCAUCAUGUGAACUCAUGUAUGUGGAACACUACACUACACUGAUGCAGUUUGAAAAAGUGCAGUUGGUUGGCUUCACAUGUCUCAGAGGAAGCAAGGCAGCCUACACCCUCCCCACCGGGGGAGAUGUGGCAUGAUCGGAAAGAGCAGACAUUAGGUGGGAAAUGCCUGGGGAACAAAUUAAGGGAGACAACACGGGUAAAUGCUGGCUGUAGUGAUUCUUAUUAACUGAUCCUCUGAUGCAUACAUUACACUGUAAUCAUGACAAAGAUACUGCCACUCCUUAUCAGUAACAGCAAACUAGAUAACAAACUUCUAGCUUUGUUAUAUUUUGAUAACAGCAUUUAGAUUUGUUCAAAACAAAAAGAUCUGGCAACGAGGAGGAUUAAGUUCAUUUUAGCUAUGUACAAAUAAAACAGAGAAUUUACUUGUGAGAUCUGAUGGUAUGCAGUCACAAUUAGAGUCAGAUGUCACGUUGCAAAAUUUGCAAUGUUUUAAUAUUUGCCACUGAGCUGCAACCUGUUUGGUCAGAAAAUUCAAAAAGUGUUUAAUCUAGUCACUUUUUUGAUAUGUUUUUCCUUGAUAUGUUCAACCGUGGACACUAUGUCCAACUCCAGAACCAUUGCUAUGAACAAAAAUAAAUAAAUAAAAGAACAAACAACAAAAUGACAAUCAUAUGUUGUGUAUAUUAAUUACAGGAGACAAUAGGCACAGGCCAAAUCUCUCCAGAAGGGUAGGUUCAGAGCAUCUAUUGAGUCAUACUCAGUGCUAGUAAGAGAUUAUGUAAACAGCUGUGUGUGUGUGUGUGUGUGUGUGUGUGUGUGUGUGUGUGUGUGUGUGUGUGUGUGUGUGUGGACUCUUUCUGUCCUUAUGGAAACCAACUGCUGUAAAUGAAAAUUGUGGAACAACUGAAUAUUUGUUUGGUCAAGGUCAGGGUUUAGGUGUGGGCAUAUCAGUGUUUAACUACAGUAUAGUUGGUAUGUAAACUGAAACUGUGUGUGUGUGUGUGUGUGUGUGUGUGUGUGUGUGUGUGUGUGUGUAUGUAUGUGUGUGUGCUAUCCCAGUUCCCUGUGUAGAGGCACUGAACUUAUACGGUUCAUUUUCCACAGGAAACUGGGAGGUCAUCCGAUGGGAGGACCUUGUCAGACCUUGCAUCUUCCUGUUCUGCUUAUGAGCCAGAGAUGUUUGAUUACCUGAUCCACACAUACAGGGAGAGAGAGAGAGAGAGAGAGAGAAAUUGGCUUAACUGAUUUUGUCAGUUAUCUCUUGACAUUUAGUUACUUGCAAACCUUUUGGCACUGUCUAAGUACAAGACAAGAGAACAUCCAUUUAACACCCUUUAUUCUUCUACACCUGUAUAGGGUGAUGAUUUA